CCUACGGGUGGCAGCAGUGAGGAAUAUUGGGCAAUGGACGAGAGUCUGAACCAGCGAAGUAGCGUGAAGGAUGAAUGCCCUAUGGGUUGUAAACUUCUUUUAUAAAGGAAUAAAUCGAGGCACGUGUGCCUUUUUGCAUGUACUUUAUGUAUAAGGACAGGCUAACUCCGUGCCAGCAGCGUCGGUAAUACGGAGGAGCCGAGCGUUAUCCGGAUUUAUUGGGUUUAAAGGGAGCGUAGAUGGGUUGUUAAGUCAGUUGUGAAAGUUUGGGACUCAACUGUAAGAAUGCAAGUGAUACUAGCAGUCUUGAGUACAAUAGAGGUCGGCAGAAUUCGUGGUGUAGCGGUGAAAUGCGUAGAUAUCACGAGGAACUCCGUUAGCGAAGGCGGCAUACCGGCGCCCAACUGACGCUGAGGCACGAAAGCGUGGGUAUCGAACAGGAUUAGAUACCCGUGUAGUC
rnacentral:rRNA from 1 species